CUCCACAGCUGCACCAGCUGGUAGGCUCAGUCCCAGAAUUUAGAUAUCUGCUCAGAUGGCCUUGACAUCUUCUAGGACUACUCACCUAUCUCCAAUGCCAUGGUCAGUAGGACAACUUUUCCAGUCACCAGAGCAACCUCAGCAGUGCCUUGACACAUCACCCUCUCUCCUCAACUUCCUUCCAAAAACCUUAUCAAGGACCUUUGUGGAAGGGAAUCUGUGAAGUCUGCUAGGAUUCUGAAGGCAUGUCUGGACCCCCUAUUUUGUGUGUGGUCACCUUCCAGGCAGCUGCAAACUUCCCUGAUGAGUGGAGCCGUAGCACUGCUACCAACACACUACCCUCCAAAGUGAGACUGGUGGCCUCCUUCCUUGCCAUCUGG